rnacentral:rRNA from 1 species
UCCGUUUGAUCCUGGCGGAGGUCACUGCUAUCGGGGUUCGACUAAGCCAUGCAAGUCGAGAGGGGUAAAGCCUUCGGCGAACUGCUCAGUAACACGUGGAUAACCUGACCUAGGGUGGAGGAUAACCCCGGGAAACAGGGGAUAAUACUCCAUAGGCUACGGAAGCUGGAAUGCUCUGUAACCGAAAGCUCCGGCGCCCUAGGAUGGGUCUGCGGCCGAUUAGGUUGUUGUCGGGGUAACGGCCCAACAAGCCGAUCAUCGGUACGGGUUGUGGGAGCAAGAGCCCGGAGAUGGAUUCUGAGACAUGAAUCCAGGCCCUACGGGGCGCAGCAGGCGCGAAAACUUUACAAUGCGGGAAACCGUGAUAAGGGGACCCCGAGUGCCUGUACACGCAGGCUGUUCAGGUGUUUAAAACGCAUCUGGAGAAAGGGCCGGGCAAGACCGGUGCCAGCCGCCGCGAUAAUACCGGCGGCUCGAGUGGUGGCCACUAUUACUGGGCUUAAAGCGUCCGUAGCCGGGUUGUUAAGUCUCCUGGGAAAUCCAACGGCUCAACCGUUGGGCGUUCAGGGGAUACUGGCAAUCUAGGGAUCGGGGGAGGUGAGAGGUACUCUAGGGGUAGGAGUGAAAUCCUGUAAUCCUUGGGGGACCACCUGUGGCGAAGGCGUCUCACCAGAACGACUCCGACGGUGAGGGACGAAAGCUGGNGGAGCAAACCGGAUUAGAUACCCGGGUAGUCCCAGCUGUAAACGAUGCGCGUUAGGUGUAUCGGUGACUACGAGUUACCGAGGUGCCGAAGGGAAACCGUGAAACGUGCCGCCUGGGAAGUACGGUCGCAAGGCUGAAACUUAAAGGAAUUGGCGGGGGAGCACCACAACGGGUGGAGCCUGCGGUUUAAUUGGACUCAACGCCGGGAAGCUCACCGGGUAAGACAGCGGAGUGAUAGCCAGGCUGAAGACUUUGCUUGACCAGCUGAGAGGAGGUGCAUGGCCGUCGUCAGUUCGUACUGUGAAGCAUCCUGUUAAGUCAGGCAACGAGCGAGACCCA